AGAGUUUGAUCCUGGCUCAGAUUGAACGCUGGCGGAAUGCUUUACACAUGCAAGUCGAACGGCAGCACGGGAGCUUGCUCCUGGUGGCGAGUGGCGAACGGGUGAGUAACAUAUCGGAACGUAUCCAAUAAUGGGGGAUAACUAAUCGAAAGGUUGGCUAAUACCGCAUACGCCCUGAGGGGGAAAGCUGGGGAUCGUAAGACCUGGCGUUAAUGGAGCGGCCGAUAUCUGAUUAGCUAGUUGGUGAGGUAAAGGCUCACCAAGGCGACGAUCAGUAGCUGGUCUGAGAGGACGACCAGCCACACUGGAACUGAGACACGGUCCAGACUCCUACGGGAGGCAGCAGUGGGGAAUUUUGGACAAUGGGGGCAACCCUGAUCCAGCCAUUCCGCGUGAGUGAAGAAGGCCUUCGGGUUGUAAAGCUCUUUCGCAAGGGAAGAAAACUUAUCUUUUAAUACAGGAUGAGGCUGACGGUACCUUGAUAAGAAGCACCGGCUAACUACGUGCCAGCAGCCGCGGUAAUACGUAGGGUGCGAGCGUUAAUCGGAAUUACUGGGCGUAAAGCGUGCGCAGGCGGUCUUGAAGGUCAGAUGUGAAAUCCCCGGGCUCAACCUGGGAACUGCGUUUGAAACUCCAAGACUAGAGUAUGGCAGAGGGGGGUAGAAUUCCACGUGUAGCAGUGAAAUGCGUAGAGAUGUGGAGGAAUACCAAUGGCGAAGGCAGCCCCCUGGGUCAAUACUGACGCUCAUGCACGAAAGCGUGGGGAGCAAACAGGAUUAGAUACCCUGGUAGUCCACGCCCUAAACGAUGUCUACUAGUUGUUGGGAGAGUAAAAUCUCUAGUAACGCAGCUAACGCGUGAAGUAGACCGCCUGGGGAGUACGGUCGCAAGAUUAAAACUCAAAGGAAUUGACUGGGGCCCGCACAAGCGGUGGAUUAUGUGGAUUAAUUCGAUGCAACGCGAAAAACCUUACCUGGCCUUGACAUGCUACUAACGAAGCAGAGAUGCAUUAGGUGCCCGAAAGGGAAAGUAGACACAGGUGCUGCAUGGCUGUCGUCAGCUCGUGUCGUGAGAUGUUGGGUUAAGUCCCGCAACGAGCGCAACCCUUGCCAAUAAUUGCCAUCAUUUAGUUGGGCACUUUAUUGGGACUGCCGGUGACAAACCGGAGGAAGGUGGGGAUGACGUCAAGUCCUCAUGGCCCUUAUGGCCAGGGCUUCACACGUAAUACAAUGGUCGGUACAGAGGGUUGCCAACCCGCGAGGGGGAGCCAAUCCCAGAAAGCCGAUCGUAGUCCGGAUUGAAGUCUGCAACUCGACUUCAU
rnacentral:rRNA from 1 species